CCUACGGGAGGCAGCAGUGGGGAAUAUUGCACAAUGGGGGAAACUCUGAUGCAGCGACGCCGCGUGAGUGAAGAAGUAUUUCGGUAUGUAAAGCUCUAUCAGCAGGGAAGAAAAUGACGGUACCUGAUUAAGAAGCCACGGCUAACUACGUGACAGCAGCCGCGGUAAUACGUAGGGGGCAAGCGUUAUCCGGAUUUACUGGGUGUAAAGGGGGCGUAGACGGCAGCACAAGUCUGGAGUGAAAUGCCGGGGCUUAACCCCGGAACUGCUAUGGAAACUGUGCAGCUAGAGUGCAGGAGAGGUAAGUGGAAUGCCUAGUGUAGCGGUGAAAUGCGUAGAUAUUAGGAGGAACACCAGUGGCGAAGGCGGCUUACUGGACCGUAACUGACGUUGAGGCUCGAAAGCGUGGGGAGCAAACAGGAUUAGAUACCCCGGUAGUC
rnacentral:rRNA from 1 species